GAGUUUGAUCCUGGCUCAGGACGAACGCUGGCGGCGUGCUUAACACAUGCAAGUCGAACGGAAAGGCCCCUUCGGGGGUACUCGAGUGGCGAACGGGUGAGUAACACGUGGGCAAUCUGCCCUGCACUUCGGGAUAAGCCUGGGAAACUGGGUCUAAUACCGGAUAGGACCACUUGGCGCAUGCCUUGUGGUGGAAAGCUUUUGCGGUGUGGGAUGGGCCCGCGGCCUAUCAGCUUGUUGGUGGGGUGAUGGCCUACCAAGGCGACGACGGGUAGCCGGCCUGAGAGGGUGUCCGGCCACACUGGGACUGAGAUACGGCCCAGACUCCUACGGGAGGCAGCAGUGGGGAAUAUUGCACAAUGGGCGCAAGCCUGAUGCAGCGACGCCGCGUGGGGGAUGACGGCCUUCGGGUUGUAAACCUCUUUCAGCAGGGACGAAGCGAAAGUGACGGUACCUGCAGAAGAAGCACCGGCCAACUACGUGCCAGCAGCCGCGGUAAUACGUAGGGUGCGAGCGUUGUCCGGAAUUACUGGGCGUAAAGAGCUCGUAGGUGGUUUGUCGCGUUGUUCGUGAAAACCGGGGGCUUAACCCUCGGCGUGCGGGCGAUACGGGCAGACUAGAGUACUGCAGGGGAGACUGGAAUUCCUGGUGUAGCGGUGGAAUGCGCAGAUAUCAGGAGGAACACCGGUGGCGAAGGCGGGUCUCUGGGCAGUAACUGACGCUGAGGAGCGAAAGCGUGGGGAGCGAACAGGAUUAGAUACCCUGGUAGUCCACGCCGUAAACGGUGGGUACUAGGUGUGGGUUUCCUUCCUUGGGAUCCGUGCCGUAGCUAACGCAUUAAGUACCCCGCCUGGGGAGUACGGCCGCAAGGCUAAAACUCAAAGGAAUUGACGGGGGCCCGCACAAGCGGCGGAGCAUGUGGAUUAAUUCGAUGCAACGCGAAGAACCUUACCUGGGUUUGACAUGCACAGGACGCGUCUAGAGAUAGGCGUUCCCUUGUGGCCUGUGUGCAGGUGGUGCAUGGCUGUCGUCAGCUCGUGUCGUGAGAUGUUGGGUUAAGUCCCGCAACGAGCGCAACCCUUGUCUCAUGUUGCCAGCGGGUAAUGCCGGGGACUCGUGAGAGACUGCCGGGGUCAACUCGGAGGAAGGUGGGGAUGACGUCAAGUCAUCAUGCCCCUUAUGUCCAGGGCUUCACACAUGCUACAAUGGCCGGUACAAAGGGCUGCGAUGCCGCAAGGUUAAGCGAAUCCUUUUAAAGCCGGUCUCAGUUCGGAUCGGGGUCUGCAACUCGACCCCGUGAAGUCGGAGUCGCUAGUAAUCGCAGAUCAGCAACGCUGCGGUGAAUACGUUCCCGGGCCUUGUACACACCGCCCGUCACGUCAUGAAAGUCGGUAACACCCGAAGCCAGUGGCCUAACCCUUGGGAGGGAGCUGUCGAAGGUGGGAUCGGCGAUUGGGACGAAGUCGUAACAAGGUAGCCGUA
rnacentral:rRNA from 1 species